UACGGAGGGUGCGAGCGUUAAUCGGAAUAACUGGGCGUAAAGGGCACGCAGGCGGGCUUGUAAGUGAGAUGUGAAAUCCCCGGGCUUAACCUGGGAAUAGCAUUUCAGACUAGGAGUCUAGAGUACUUUAGGGAGAGAGAGAAUUCCACGUGUAGCGGUGAAAUGCGCAGAGAUAUGGAGGAACACCGGUGGCGAAGGCGACUUUCUGGUCUGUAACUGACGCUGAUGUGCGAAAGCGAGGGGAUCAAACGGG
rnacentral:rRNA from 1 species